rnacentral:lncRNA from 1 species
UUAGUAGUUUUUGAAAAAGGUUUUGAAAAGCUUGACUUUGUUGUCAAGUCAAUUCAACCGAUUGUUUCGACAAAACAAUCGAUUGUUUUCCUGAAAACCUUAAGUGUGUGGAAUAGGAUUGGGUUGUAAUUCUGAAAUUUAAGAUUUGUAAUACCCAGGCGUAUUCUAUUCCCUUCUUCCUUGAUUACUGUAUUUCUGUAGUUGUGUUGUCAAGGAGUGUUGUGUGUUCUUGAGGUGUUCAAGAUCAACAUUCUUGGUGUGGUUUGCCAAAGGUAGUGUUUCUUGAGGGGUUCAAGGUCACUACUUUGGUGUGUGAUGUGUGUAAUCUGGUUUUGAUUGCAUAGUGGAUUACCCAAUGGUUUCUGG